UUUAUUUAAUCUAUUAAACAUAGUACAAGCAUAUGUAAACCAACAAGGUCCUACGAGAAGAGGAUUUUUCAUAUCUAACAGGUAUUUGACAUUUCCCUCCAUUUUCAAGUGAAACCCAGAGAGAGGGGAAGGUAACAAGAAAUAAAAUCCACAUGAAGAAAAAGAUAGAUGCCAAUCCUGUUUUACUCGUUACAGAAGAUACCACCUCCUACUACAAAGUUAUAAACUAGUAAUUUUUGAAGUGAUGCUGUGGGUCAGGUCCCCCAGGACUUGUUCUCUCAACCUGUCCAUUCUGGUUUUUCUUAGCUUCUCCGUUCAGGUACUGUCUCAAGUCCUCGAUAGACUUGUUUAGAUUCCGCUUCUCUAUCAAGGGGCGACUCUGUGAGCCUGCGGACAAAAGCAAGAGCAAAGUAAGGCACACCAGACAUCUAGAGAACGACAUUGUAGUUAAGGCGAUUCAAUGAAAACCUUGUGCUUUGGCAUGGAAGUUGAGAGGAUUUCUAUAUUUAUAUACUUCCUAGUCAACUUUAUGUCGAAGUGGAUGAGGUAUUAUUAAUCAAUCGCUCAACUGUAAAUUGUCAUCUGACAGAGAAAGAUCGUUUUUCCUGUGGAUUUUGGCCCUGAGAUCAUUCUGACGAAGCUUUUCCCAAUAAGAUGUGAAACAGCCACAAGCAACAUCUCUUU
rnacentral:lncRNA from 1 species